GACAACGUGAACAAUAAUUUAGUUAGAGUUAUCGCGCAAGUUCAAUUUUUACAAACGGACGGCGUCUAAAGCGAAUUACGAUUGGCAGGAGUGCGGACACUGAUGUUCGUGAGAACAUGUUGCGGA